rnacentral:rRNA from 1 species
GACGAACGCUGGCGGCGUGCCUAAUACAUGCAAGUCGAGCGGACUUAAAAGGAGCUUGCUCCUUUUAAGUUAGCGGCGGACGGGUGAGUAACACGUGGGCAACCUGCCCUAUAGUUUGGGAUAACUCCGGGAAACCGGGGCUAAUACCGAAUAAUACAUUUUAACUCCUGUUAGAAUGUUGAAAGAUGGUUUACGCUAUCGCUAUAGGAUGGGCCCGCGGCGCAUUAGCUAGUAGGUGAGGUAACGGCUCACCUAGGCGACGAUGCGUAGCCGACCUGGGAGGGUGAUCGGCCCCACUGGGACUGAGACACGGCCCAGACUCCUACGGGAGGCAGCAGUAGGGAAUCUUCCACAAUGGACGAAAGUCUGAUGGAGCAACGCCGCGUGAGUGAAGAAGGUUUUCGGAUCGUAAAACUCUGUUGUAAGGGAAGAACAAGUGCAGUAGUAACUGGCUGCACCUUGACGGUACCUUAUUAGAAAGCCACGGCUAACUACGUGCCAGCAGCCGCCGUAA